rnacentral:rRNA from 1 species
CAGCAGCCGCGGUAAUACGGAGGGUGCGAGCGUUAAUCGGAAUUACUGGGCGUAAAGCGCGCGUAGGCGGUUAAUCAAGUCAGAUGUGAAAGCCCAGGGCUCAACCUUGGAACUGCAUUUGAAACUGGUUAACUAGAGUUUUGUAGAGGGUGGUAGAAUUUCAGGUGUAGCGGUGAAAUGCGUAGAGAUCUGAAGGAAUACCAGUGGCGAAGGCGGCCACCUGGACAAAGACUGACGCUGAGGCGCGAAGGCGUGGGGAGCAAACGGGAUUAGAUACCCUGGUAGUCCACGCAGUAAACGAUGUCUAUUAGAAGUUUGUGGCUAUAUGCCGUGGGUUUCAAAGCUAACGCCUUAAAUAGACCGCCUGGGGAGUACGGCCGCAAGGUUAAAACUCAAAUGAAUUGACGGGGGCCCGCACAAGCGGUGGAGCAUGUGGUUUAAUUCGAUGCAACGCGAAGAACCUUACCAUCCCUUGACAUCCAGAGAUCGUGUUAGAGAUAGUAGAGUGCCUUCGGGAGCUCUGAGACAGGUGCUGCAUGGCUGUCGUCAGCUCGUGUUGUGAAAUGUUGGGUUAAGUCCCGCAACGAGCGCAACCCUUGUCCUUACUUGCCAGCGGGUAAUGGUGGGAACUCUAGGGAGACUGCCGGUGAUAAACCGGAGGAAGGUGGGGACGACGUCAAGUCAUCAUGGCCCUUACGGGAUGGGCUACACACGUGCUGCAAUGGCAAAUACAAAGGGCAGCUAGCCAGCGAUGGUAUGCGAAUCUCAUAAAGUUUGUCGUAGUCCGGAUCGGAGUCUGCAACUCGACUCCGUGAAGUUGGAAUCGAUAGUAAUCGUGGAUCAGAAUGCCACGGUGAAUACGUUCCCGGGCCUUGUACACACCGCCCGUCACACCAUGGGAGUGGGCUGCACCAGAAGUCAUUAGCUUAACCGUUCGGGGAUGGCGAUGACCACGGUGUGGUUCAUGACUGGGGUGAAGUCGUAACAAGGUAGCCGUA